UGGGGAAUUUUGGACAAUGGGCGCAAGCCUGAUCCAGCAAUGCCGCGUGCAGGAUGAAGGCCUUCGGGUUGUAAACUGCUUUUGUACGGAACGAAAAGCUUCUGGUUAAUACCUGGGGCUAAUGACGGUACCGUAAGAAUAAGCACCGGCUAACUACGUGCCAGCAGCCGCGGUAAUACGUAGGGUGCGAGCGUUAAUCGGAAUUACUGGGCGUAAAGCGUGCGCAGGCGGUGAUGUAAGACAGAUGUGGAAUCCCCGGGCUCAACCUGGGACCUGCAUUUGUGACUGCAUAGCUAGAGUACGGCAGAGGGGGAUGGAAUUCCGCGUGUAGCAGUGAAAUGCGUAGAUAUGCGGAGGAACACCGAUGGCGAAGGCAAUCCCCUGGGCCUGUACUGACGCUCAUGCACGAAAGCGUGGGGAGCAAACA
rnacentral:rRNA from 1 species